UUCUGACGUUCUCCUGUACGCUCUGCAUUACCCAUUUCUCUUUCUUUUGCUUCUUUCUUACCAGUCCUCUUCUCUCUUUCUUUCUUUCUUUCUUUCUUUCUUUCUUUCUUUCUUUCUUUCUUUCUUUCUUUCUAUAUAUCUACCUAUCUCUCUUUCUCUCUUAGGAGACUAACUUUGAGAUAAUGCCCCGACCCAAGACAACGGAUAUUUACUUCAGAAACAUUCGCAUAGAAAUAAAGGGAGUUUAGCAUAUCUACACAAAUUUUGAGAAUACAAAACAGAAACUCACAUUUGGGAAAAAUAUUAAAAAAUGGCAAAAUUUUGUCAAAGCCUAAGGCAAAUAAAUAUAAAUCCUUCAAGACUUCAAGAUCAUUGCAGGCGCAGGCGUGGCUGUGUGUUUAAGAAGUUCGGUUUGCUACCGAGUAGUGUCGGGUUCAGUACCACUAUACGGCAGCUAGGGUGUACCCCGAUGUCAUUUUCCGUAAUAUCUGCGUGCGGAGGAUAAUACAAACCACAAACAGCAAUGGCGACAGACUAUAUCCCAGAAAUACGCUUCUCCUGAUGUUAACCUUCACCCAAAAAAUUCCACAUGAUGUUAACUCUAUCG
rnacentral:lncRNA from 1 species